UACGAAGGGGGCUAGCGUUGCUCGGAAUCACUGGGCGUAAAGCGCACGUAGGCGGCUUGCUAAGUCAGGGGUGAAAUCCUGGAGCUCAACUCCAGAACUGCCUUUGAUACUGGCGAGCUUGAGUUCGGGAGAGGUGAGUGGAACUGCGAGUGUAGAGGUGAAAUUCGUAGAUAUUCGCAAGAACACCAGUGGCGAAGGCGGCUCACUGGCCCGAUACUGACGCUGAGGUGCGAGAGCGUGGGGAGCGAACAGG
rnacentral:rRNA from 1 species